rnacentral:misc_RNA from 1 species
GAUGAAGAACGCAGCGAAAUGCGAUACGUAAUGUGAAUUGCAAAUUCAGUGAAUCAUCGAGUCUUUGAACGCACAUUGCGCCCCCUGGUAUUCCGGGGGGCAUGCCUGUCCGAGCGUCAUUGCUGCCCUCAAGCACGGCUUGUGUGUUGGGCCCCGUCCUCCGAUUCCGGGGGACGGGCCCGAAAGGCAGCGGCGGCACCGCGUCCGGUCCUCGAGCGUAUGGGGCUUUGUCACCCGCUCUGUAGGCCCGGCCGGCGCUUGCCGAUCAACCCAAAUUUUUAUCCAGGUUGCCCUCGGAUCAGGUAGGGAUACCCGCUGAACUUAAGCAUAUCAAUAAGCGGAGGA